UAUAAAUUAGUUUUGCCUGUUUAAAGAUUUUAUAUAAAUGGAACCACACAGUAGUUUUGUGUAAGGUUUUUCACAGCAUGAAGGUUUUCAGGAAUCCAUCUAUGUUGUUGCAUGAAUCAGUAGUCAGUUCUUUUUUAAGGCCAAAAUGUACUCCACUUAGGAAGCUUGUAAUUUAUCUACUCCCCUCUAGAUGGACACCCAGGCUAUUUCCACCUAUGGCUAUUCUAAACAAAGCUGCCAGAAAAAAUACUUGUGCAUGUCUUUUUGCAGACCUAUAUUUCACUCCUUGGAAAAUGCCAAGAAGUGAAACUGCUGGCAUCAAGGGGUGUAUAUGUUUAGCUUUAUAAGAAAUGUCCAGACUGAAAACUUGCUAAAUUAAUUAGUCCCCAUAGUUUUGUAGAUUCUUUAGUAUGUUCUGUGCCAUCAACCAUGUCAUCUGUAAACAGAGAGCACUUUACUGCUUCCUUUUCAAUCUGCAUUUCUUUUAUUUCUCUCUUCUACAAGCUGAGAUCUCCAAAACAACUUCAAGAGGUAAGAGUGGACACCUUACCAGGUGAUCAACCUUAAGGGGAAAAUAUGCACCAUUUUACCAUUAUGUAUAAUGUUAGUUGUAGAUUUUCCAUAGAUUGACUUGAUCAGGUACAAGCUCCCCUCAUUCCUACUUCAAGUUCUUAUCAUAAUUAGGUAAUGCAUUUGUCAAAUGAUUUUUCUGCAUUUACUUGUAUUUAUCUGUAUCACCAUAUAGUUAUUCCCCUCUAUUUUGUGGUCUAAAUGAAUUACAUACAUUUUCAAAUGCUAAACUUGGGCAUUUCAGCAAUAAAGCCAACUAAUUUGUGACAAAUCAUCAUUUUCACACAUUGUAGUAUUCUAUUUCAUAGGAUUUUAUUAAGCACUCCAUUUUUAAAAAUUUGUUUGGCAUCAGAAUUAAGAUAGUGACAUAAAAUGUGUUCUCAUUCUCUGUUUUCUGAAAUACUUUAAGAGUGGUGUUACUGUUUCCUCAAUUGUUUGAUAGAAUUCACCAGUGAAAUCACAUGGACCACAAGUAUCUUUUUAACAGUCACUGUUCAGGCAUUGUGUAAGGUAAUUUAAUUGCAUUAUUCCUGUUUAUAGAAACACUUUAAAUAGUAUAGUACUUUGUUUUAAAUGUGUCAAAACUGAGGGUUAACAGAGAUUAAGUAACUUACCCAAAGACAUGUAGCUAGUAUGUCAGACAUAAACACCCGGGUAUGAUUAGCUUUAAAAUUUUUACCUUGCCAUAGGAAGUCAUGACAGAUUUUAAGUUGCACAGAUCACUUAAGCUGUGGCAAUAUAUGGUACACACAAAAUGAGCUAGGGACUCUGCUGGUCAUAAUUGCUUUUUCAAGACAAGAAAGAAGUCAUUUCUCUAAAAUGUAUUAAAUUCAAAGUCCAAUUUCAAGCACGCCACUAAUCUAAUACUUUUUUCUUUUUUUAGGGCCGCACCUGUGGCAUAUGGAAGGGGUCAAACCAGACCCAUAAAGCUGCCGGCUUAAAGCACAGCCACAUGGGAUCUGAGCCUCUUGUGCAACCUACACCACAGCUGAUGGCAACGCCGGAUCCCUAAGCCACUCAGCGAGGGCCAGGAACAAACCUGCAUCCUCACGGAUACCAGUUGGGUUCGUUACCGCUGUGCCACAACUGGAACUUCCACCACGAAUCCCAUUCUUGAAAGAAGGCACAUUAGAUGAUGAAGUCAGCUAUAUUUAAUAUUAAUCAUAGAUUAAAACAUAUUCACUCUAUCCUAUUUUUGUUUUAAAUAUCUGAUUAUGCAACUGUGUGUACCUAGAGCCUACAAAUAUAUAAAAUAAGCCACUGGCUCAGUUUAUUCCUUCACUAGUGGGUCCUCAUCAUAGAAAAGCCAUGAGAAAAUUAGGAUGCAUUAGACAGUAGAGUGCUAAUUAGUAAAUAUAAGAAUCUCAUUUAAAAAUCACACUUAUGUAACCAAAUUUCUCCCCAAAACUAACAUUUCUAUUUGAUUGGACACUGAAAACAAACACCACAGAUCUCUAGGCUCUUUAUGAUUCCCUGGUAACCCAAAAGAGAGAGAUUUGCUUCUCAAAAUGGGAUAUAUCACUGCCUAAUGAGUUUCCAAGUCCAAAAAUAACCACACACACACACACACUCCAAUGGUACUGGGCAUACAAAAUAAACAUACAUUGCUGUGGAUUGAUUUUUUUUAUGUGAGAAAAUACACAGGCACAUGAUCCCAACAUAAAUAUUCAACUUAUUAUUUCCUUCAUUUAAAGUUACCAAAUCAGCAAAAAAAGAACAAGUCAGCUACCCAGUGUUUCUUUUAGCAAAAAGGGAGAGUUAUAUUUUUGUUCCUUGGAAGAAACAUAUAAUGUAAUGGGCAAAAUGUCAAGUGGGUGGGGAGUUAUUAGCCCAUAUAAACCUCCAGAGAGCUCUCUCAGGAAAAGGAAUUCUGAAUAAGACACUGCACUAGCACAUUUGGCUUCAAAACGUCAUUCAAGGAGGCAGAUAGGGGGCUGGGUUUUACGGGAGCAGGACCCACACCAAAUGUUCCUAACCAGACAGCAAGUGAUUGUGAGGUUCUGAGGGCUCCCCAAAGUCAGGAGUUAUUUAGGAAAACUGGAGUUUUAAACACUGGGAAGAUGGACUGCAAAAAAACGAGCUCAGAGCGUCAAGGCAGAAUCAAUACUGGGACCUUAGGAGCUGGUUCAGAGAGAGAGCUUGCACACAGGAACAAAGGAGAAACACCCUGGAUCCUUUCUGCAAGGCUUCCUGCCUGGAUUUCUCAUCUAUCAGAUGGGCGUGUCUAUGGGAAAAGUCCGAAUGGCUUAUGAAGCUCAAAGUAAGACGUGGGUCAAGAUGCAGUUGCUCUACAUGAGAACAGCUGAAUUGCCAGACAAUAUUCUAUUCAUUUAUUUAGUACAUAUUUCCUGAGCAGCUCAACGCCUUAAUUUUUUCCUAAUGUUGGCCUCUAUUUUAGAUAAGUCUGAUAUAUAUUUUUAAAAUCUGUAUUUAAAAACUAAGAAUGCUGCAGCUGUACACCUUGGCUCGGGAACAUCCGCAUGUCCUGGGCUCAGCCAAAAACAAACAAGCCAAUGCCCACCGUUUCCAGGAGGCUUCACUGGAGGACGGCAUUCUACUUCACAGGCAACGCAUUUAAGGAGAGUUGAUUUGCAAAAUGUUUUCUCAGGGAUCCCUUCAUCAUGCAUGUGGAGCUUUACGCAGCGUGGUGAUUAAGAACAGGAACUGGGAAGGCAGGCUGCAUGGGCUCAAAUGCCAGCUUCACCACUUUUAAGCUGGGUGACCUUGGGCAAGUUAUGAAACCUUUUUGGAAUCAGUUAUUCUCCACUCUGCAACGGAGGAGAGAGCAAUACCUACCUCACGUGGGUGUUCUGAAAGUGAUUACACAGAAAGCAUUGUCAAAUCAUGCCCAGCCGGAGGAGGUGAUAGCAAAGAGUCAGCUGUUGAUGCCGUUAUACUCCGAGAACAUACAUACUGUGAAAAGACCAUUUCUUUUUCUUCUCACUAGAUUAAAAAAUGUUCCAUUUCAAAACAUUCCAAAAACCAGGUGGUCCUGUCUAUCUCACUAUCUGCCAAACUCCUUCCUUAAAGAAACUGAAGUUAUGUGGCUCGAAGUCAAAUUUAAUGAUUGAGACUGCAUCUACAAAUCCACCAAGACUUGGGAAAGGAAUAGCCCUUUAAUAAUUCAUAGUUACUAUUUCAAAUGCCUGUUUGGGUCUGGAAGUAACCAAAUGAGCAAGUUCUAACUACUCACACGUACACCUCAAUAACAACCAAGCCUCAUCCCCUGACAGAAUCAGAUGGGGUUACGGAAACUCAGACCACUCUCACCUUCCCAUCCCUCACCUCCACCUGCAUCAGAUGCCACGGCCACUGUUCUCUGUGCAGAUCCCUGGGCACACCACUGGGCACUCCCAAGAUGGCACGGGAACCCCAAAGUGAUAGAGCCACAACAGUGGCCUCUGGCAAAGGACACUGCUUUUCCUGGUGCCCAAGGCCAUGAGGGGAGCCUGUCAUGAUGCUUCAAGUUCCUGUCACAGAAACUGCCAACAGCUCUCUAGAUUUUUAUUGACAGGCUUUCUGCUGUUUUCCACAAACUCCCAAAUCCCAUUAAAAACAAUUGUACACCUUGGCCGGGAAAGUCCUCAUGCCUGGGGCUCAGCCAAAAACAAACAAGCCAAACAGACAAACAAACUUUACAUUUAAGGUGUUUUUAUAGUUUGUAGAAACCUUGUUUCUUAUGCAAAUUCCAGAUAACUGUGUCAUGGGGGAGGGGACCAAAUAUAAGUAAAUGUGCACAUAUUUGACUACGCAGAAUGACUGCUCAUACACUGUACAUAUAGGCGGGGCCUUUACCAGCCUCCACCUCUGAGUUCUGUUUGAAAUAGCUGACAAAGGACAUAGAAGAUUCUCUGCAAAGUGGGAGAAGGUGUGGUUCAUGCGCAGUCUUCAAGUCUUCCCAAAUGACUUGGGAAUCCAUUGUUGGGCUGGUGGGGGCGGGGGUGGCCAAAAAGUUGACUUUUGGCUAUUUUUAUGUUCAUAACCAGUUAUCUACAAGCAUAUGAAAAACUUAAAUGGAAAAAGUAAGAUUUAAGAAGAGAGAAAUACACUGAAUUUUAGAAGUCCUCCUUAUAUUACUCUUUGCUUUUCAGCAUUGUUGAUUAUCCUAAGGACAGCAAGAAGGACUUAGAUCCCAUCAUUUCCCAUCAUUUCUCAAGUGGUCAAGAUCAAUAAUCUUCCAAAGAAAAAGCAAACACUUUCAUAGAUAAGCUUAAUUAUAAGGAGGUUUUCAGGGUCGGUAGUGCUUUGCUAGAAGGACAUUUAGCAGCAGAAAAGGCUGAGCUCUAAAGCUUCUCCAUGGAGUUCCUGUGGUGACUCAGUGGUAAUGUACACGACCAGUAUCUGUGCAGACUGGAGUUCAAUCCCUGGUCCCCCUCAGUGGGUUAAGGAUCUGGUGUUGCUGUGAGCUGCAGUGCAAGUCACAGAUGAGGCUUGGAUCCCAGGUUGCUGUGGCUAUGGUUGUGGCCCGCAGCUGCAGCUCCAACUUGACCCCUAGCCUGGGAACUUCCAUGUGCCUGGGAGCAGCCCUAAAAAGACAAAAAAAUAAAAAUAAAAAAAUAAAAAAUAAACCUCCAACACCUACAGACCUACACUGUCCAAUAUGGCCACCACCAGCCACACGUGGCUUUGGAGUGUUUUGCAUGUGACUUGUCCAAACUGUAAAACAUACUAGAAGUUAAAGGUUUUGUAUGAAAUAAAGAAUGUGAAGUAUCUGUUAAUUUUAUACUGAUGACAUAUUAAAGUGAUCAUACUUUGGAUACCUGGGUUUAAAUAAAAUACGAAUAUUAAUUUCAUUUGUUUCUCAUUACAUUUUUUUAUGUGGCUGCUAGAAAUUUUAAUCUUCUCGAUGCAGUUUGCAUUUGAGGUCCACAUUACUUUUCUUUGGACAGAACUAGGUUGAAUCGACGAGAAGAGAGAAGAGGGGAGGAAGAUCUCAGAGCCAGCAGGGCUCAGAAUAAUUAGCACAAGGAAUUACUAUAGAACAGUCCCAGCUAGCCCAUUCCUCAAAAUGAUAGAGAAACCUUGCCACUGAGAACCUAUGUACCUCUGGCUUUUAGUAGACACGCCUUUUUAAAAUCCAUCAACAUGUAUUAAGUUAUAUCUAUGGCUUUGAAGGAAUAAGAAAUGACAUAGGUAGAUAGGGGAUAUGCACAAAAAUUAUCAACUGAUGAUCGCCUAUAUUGGGUGUGGUACAGGAGGUAAAACAAUCACUACCAUCUCACACUCACAAUUCAAAACCCCUAGGCAAAUGUACUCCAGUGGUUGGACUUACUGAAAAGGAAGCAAAAUCCAGCUGCCACCUGUUUUUGGUUUUUUUUAAAUAAAGUUUUACUGGAACAUGGCCAUGGCCAUUCAUUUACGUAUUGCUCAUGGCGCCUUUUGCAUAAGAAGAAGAAAAAAUAAAGUUGUCCAUGAUCAACACUACCUAUCUUGAAGAGAAUAAAAGCAGAGUCCUCUACACACCCAUGAAUUCGCAGCAAUCAGCUUCCUGAUCUUGCUGUUCCUAGAAUAUACAAAAUAAGCUCUAACAUCAAAGCCUUUGCCACCACGGCUC
rnacentral:lncRNA from 1 species